rnacentral:rRNA from 1 species
CACGUAGGGGGCAAGCGUUGUCCGGAUUUAUUUGGGCGUAAAGAGCUCGUAGGCGGCUUAGUAAGUCGGGUGUGAAACCUCCAGGCUCAACCUGGAGACGCCACCCGAUACUGCUGUGGCUAGAGUCCGGUAGGGGAGCGUGGAAUUCCUGGUGUAGCGGUGAAAUGCGCAGAUAUCAGGAGGAACACCGGUGGCGAAGGCGGGUCUCUGGGCCGAUACUGACGCUGAGGAGCGAAAGCGUGGGGAGCGAACAGG